rnacentral:rRNA from 1 species
AUUGAACGCUGGCGGCAGGCCUAACACAUGCAAGUCGAGCGGCAGCACGGGAGCUUGCUCCUGGUGGCGAGCGGCGGACGGGUGAGUAAUGCCUAGGAAUCUGCCUGGUAGUGGGGGAUAACGUCCGGAAACGGGCGCUAAUACCGCAUACGUCCUACGGGAGAAAGUGGGGGAUCUUCGGACCUCACGCUAUCAGAUGAGCCUAGGUCGGAUUAGCUAGUUGGUGAGGUAAUGGCUCACCAAGGCUGCGAUCCGUAACUGGUCUGAGAGGAUGAUCAGUCACACUGGAACUGAGACACGGUCCAGACUCCUACGGGAGGCAGCAGUGGGGAAUAUUGGACAAUGGGCGAAAGCCUGAUCCAGCCAUGCCGCGUGUGUGAAGAAGGUCUUCGGAUUGUAAAGCACUUUAAGUUGGGAGGAAGGGCAGUCGGUUAAUACCUUGCUGUUUUGACGUUACCGACAGAAUAAGCAC